rnacentral:sRNA from 1 species
GCUGGGCAUGGUGACAUGUGCCUGUAAUCCCAGCUACUCAGAAGGCUGAAAUGGGAGGAUCACUUGAGCCCAGGAGGUUCUAGGCAAUAUUUUGAGACCCUGUCUUAA